GGGCAGCCGUCACUAUUUUUGGUGGACUGUGUGAUAUACUAGAGUAUUCCCCUUACCCUCUUCUGACCAACUCGUACGGGUCGAGGACAUAAGUGCCAUGGCCCAUGGACCAUUUAAGAGGCACUGCCUACCUAUACCUCUGGUAUAAUGGCCAACGUGGAGAAUCUCUUAGUUUGAAGAGCUGGCAAUAAUGAGGUUUAUUUUUACUUCGUGAUAUACCGGCGAAACUCAUGCCCCUUUUAAUUCGUUGCUGAUAAACUCGUGUAGAUCCAGGACAUAAGUGCUAUAA
rnacentral:lncRNA from 1 species